rnacentral:rRNA from 1 species
AGAGUUUGAUCCUGGCUCAGAAUGAACGCUGGCGGCGUGCUUAACACAUGCAAGUCGCACGAGAACGUUCCAGCUUGCUGGAGCAAGUAAAGUGGCGCACGGGUGAGUAACGCGUGGGUAAUCUACCCUUGAAUUUGGGAUAACUCUUCGAAAGGGGAGCUAAUACCGGAUGACAUCACAUUUUUUUCGAGGAGUGUGAUCAAAGAUGGCCUCUCCAUGGAAGCUAUUGUUUGAGGAUGAGCCCGCGUACCAUUAGCUAGUUGGUAGGGUAAAGGCCUACCAAGGCGACGAUGGUUAGCUGGUCUGAGAGGAUGACCAGUCACACUGGAACUGACACACGGUCCAGACUCCUACGGGAGGCAGCAGUGAGGAAUUUUGCGCAAUGGGGGAAACCCUGACGCAGCAACGCCGCGUGAGUGAUGAAGGCCUUCGGGUCGUAAAGCUCUGUCAAGUGGGAAGAACCUGACAAAGGGUAAUAUUUUUUGUCACUGACGGUACCAUUGAAGGAAGCACCGGCUAACUCCGUGCCAGCAGCCGCGGUAAUACGGGGGGUGCAAGCGUUAUUCGGAUUUAUUGGGCGUAAAGGGCGCGUAGGCGGUCUUGUUAGUCAGAUGUGAAAGCCCGGGGCUCAACCCCGGAAGUGCAUUUGAUACUGUAAGACUUGAGUAUGGGAGAGGGAAGUGGAAUUCCUGGUGUAGAGGUGAAAUUCGUAGAUAUCAGGAGGAACAUCUGUGGCGAAGGCGACUUCCUGGACCAAUACUGACGCUGAGGCGCGAAGGCGUGGGUAGCAAACAGGAUUAGAUACCCUGGUAGUCCACGCAGUAAACGGUGUUCACUAGGUGUAGCGGGUAUUGACCCCUGCUGUGCCGCAGCUAACGCAUUAAGUGAACCGCCUGGGGAGUACGAUCGCAAGAUUAAAACUCAAAGGAAUUGACGG